rnacentral:ncRNA from 1 species
UUUGUUUUGCUACCGAGUAAAACAAAUCAAAGUGCUCAAACUCAUUCCAUUAGGUCUUAGGAGGAAUGUUGUCUGGGCAUUUUUUUAUG